CAGUAGCCGCGGUAAUACGUAGGUGGCAAGCGUUGUCCGGAAUUAUUGGGCGUAAAGGGCUCGCAGGCGGUUUCUUAAGUCUGAUGUGAAAGCCCCCGGCUCAACCGGGGAGGGUCAUUGGAAACUGGGAAACUUGAGUGCAGAAGAGGAGAGUGGAAUUCCACGUGUAGCGGUGAAAUGCGUAGAGAUGUGGAGGAACACCAGUGGCGAAGGCGACUCUCUGGUCUGUAACUGACGCUGAGGAGCGAAAGCGUGGGGAGCGAACAGGAUUAGAUACCCCAGUAGUCCCCUGUCUCUUAUA
rnacentral:rRNA from 1 species